AGAAAAAUGCAGGACAUCUAAUGUAGAAGAUCAUGAGGUGCCACUGUGGCUUCUGUUGAAGAGUAUACAGUCAUCGCAUAGGGUGAUUCGUUCUGAAGCAGUUCAAACCCUCGCAGGGAUUCAUUAUUGGCAUGGUAUGAUUCACAUAUUGAAGCAUGCAGUGUGACUUAACAUUUCUUUUAUCCUAAAAAUAUGCUAACAUAAUUUCAAGAUAUUUCUGUAUAUUUUAAUUUGCAGCUACUUACCAUAUGUGGUUCACUAAUGAUUUUAAAUUGCAGAGAUGGUGGCCUCUUUGUUUUUAACUAAAUUUUUUAUUUUGGCAGGUGAUUCAUGACAAAGCAGUAGUUUCAUUGUAUAACAUUUGACAAGCAUAUUCAAGAUUUGCAAACAUUGAUGUCUAGUGUGAUCAACUAAUUUUUUUACUGAACAAUAACUAUUGGUGGUGAUGCCAAGGAGCAGGGGAUAGGUAGUUGAGGGGUUGGUCUUCUCAAGCGGUUAAACAUCUAGUCGGUAAGACUAUGUAUCAAUGGCAUUUGUUUAUCUCCUAGGUGGUGUGCAUGCCUCUAACCUAUAAGGCGCAGGGUGUGGGGGGUUAUAUGCUUAUUACACCCUUCAUUAUUAUGAGCAUUGAUAGCGAUCUCUUAGGGGUUGGUUUAAGUUCUAUAUACAGCAGCAAGUUGUCCACCAUGAGGCGACUUUGUGUAAAAUAAUAACAUAUAAACACAAUAAUCCGUACAGAAAUAACAUCGGCAUAAAAAUAUAAGGUAGAGCUGAAACAUUCGGUGACUUAGAUAUGGUCAACGAUAUUUAUUUCAGAGAGUCUCGUUUUUGCCCUGGUACAAAGGGAGUGAUUGCAUAGACAUCCCAGUGAUGGCUGGUACUUGUUGAAGGAGUUGUGUCAGGUAUGUCCAGUGCCUGGAGUAGGGCUGGACCAUCUGUGGCAUUCGUUGCCCUUAAGGUUUUUCCCUUUUGGUCUACGGAGAUGGAUCUUGGGUAAGUCAAACGAUAAGAAAGUCCUUCCGGUAAUGAGCUUCAUAGACUUUUGCCACAGUAGUGCGAGCCUUCUGAGGUCUUGGAAGAAGGUGAUGCUGUGUGAUUCAAAUUGAAGCGGGGUUUUCCCUUUUAAUGCUGUGAGUAGCCUUUGUUUAUCAACGAUGGAUUGACAGUACAGGAUUAAGUCUCUAGGGGCUGUGGUGGGAGCAUUUUGUGAUGCCAAAUGCCCCGUCAAAAGCAAAUUGUUUGUCAAAUUUCGUAGGCAGUAUGGUUGUGACUAGGCCUUGUAAAGUGGGGAAUGUUGUGCUUUCGUCCCCUGUCAUCCACCUGGUCCACUCAGGUGAAUAGACUGUUGUGUAAUGAUCUUAGUUGCUGGAAAAAUUCACCUUAGGUAUCCAUCCCUUGUUUGAAAUCCAGUAGGUCCUCCUCUGCAGCCUGUACCCUGUCUGCCACUGCUUGCACUUCUGUCUUUACCAGAGUCAGUUCUGUCGAGAACAUGUUUUGAAAGUGCAUAUCCCAGUAUGCUGCACUUGCCACCCGCAGGACUCCCGCAUGGUAUGCCCAAAUUCCGUGCUGUCGAGUUUUUGCACUUGCGGGAAAAAUAAAUUACGUAAUUCCAAAACAAGUAAUCCAUAUUCACCUUACAGAAUGAGCUUUCAAGGCUAGAGACAGGUUACCCAUUAUGCGGUCAACAGCUGCCUGGGCCCGGACUCAGACAUUUUGGGCCUGAAACUUUCAAAAGAUCAAAAGAUGCACCUGCCACAGCUGAUGUUCUGAGCCAUUAACGAAGUGCCAAAACUGCUAGGGCACUUUUAAGGUGGCUAACCUUAAGCACGUGGGGUAUACUAAAACGUAUCAUUUUAAAAAAGCCAAUUUCAAUAAGUUUAGGGUAGCUCUACAACAUAUAGACUGGCAUAAACUCCUUAGUGAAAAAAUUACUGUGGAUAAAUGAAAACUAUUCAAACAAUUAUUAGAAAAGCACAUUUCUCAGUAUGUACCAUUGGAUAAUAAAUAUAAAAGAAACAAACUGAAACCAACGUGGCUUAGCAGAGUAAGUAAAACAAGAGAUUAAAAAUAAGAAAAGGGCAUUUAAAGCAUUUAAAUCGGAAAAAUCAGAGGCAUCCUAUAUAAGAUAUAAGAAAGCCAAUAAUACGUGCAAAAAGGCAAUUAAAGUGGCUAAACUAGAAAAUGAGAAAUUGAUAGCCAAAGAAUGCAAAACCAACCCCAAAAUUUUUUUCAAGUACAUUAAUUCUAAAAACAACAAAAAAUGAAAGUGUAGGUACACUGGAAACAGAGAUGGGUCUGUUAGCUAAUGAAGACCAUGAAAAGGCAGACAUUUUAAAUAACAAUUUUUCUUCAGUAUAUAUUAAUGAGGAUCCUAUGGCAAGAGAUAUGCAAAUAUUGCAGAUAACUUGUGAUUGGAUGAUUCGAGACAAGGUGCUACAGCAGUUAAAGGAAAUUUAUGUAAAUAAAGCUCUGGGACCAGACGGUAUUCACCCAUGAAUAUUUAAAGGACCACUCUAGGCACCCAGACCACUUCAGUUUAAUGAAGUGGUCUGGGUGCCAGGUCUAGCUAGGGUUAACCCAUUUUUUUUAUAAACAUAGCAGUUUCAGAGAAACUGCUAUGUUUAUAAAUGGGUUACUCCAGCCUCUAAAGCCUCUUGUGGCUGUCUCAUUGACAGCCGCUAGAGGUGUUUGCGUGCUUCUCACUGUGAAAAUCACAGUGAGAAGACACAAGCGUCCGUAGGAAAGCAUUAUGAAUGCUUUCCUAUGAGACUGGCUGAAUGCGCGCGCAGCUCCUGCCGCGCAUGCACAUUAAGCCAAAGAGUAGGAGAGGAGGAGGAGAGCUCCAUGCCCGGUGCUGGAGAAAGGUAAGAUUUUAAUAGUGCCCUGAGGGGGCACCCUCAGGGCACUAUAGUGCCAGGAAAACGAGGUGGGCGUGCCCGGAAGGAGGAUGAGGAGAGAGGACGCGGAGGCGAGCUAAUUAUGCCGCUCCGUGAUCACUGUUUGGCUGGGAAAAGAUUUGAUGAAGUGGAGUGAAGACUCAGUGAAGACUCAGUGAAGUCAGUGAACUUAGUUUGAAGCAACACGGUGCUGAAUAUUUGAAGCGCAUUUGAAGUGCAUACCAAUAUAUAUUAUUGACUGCCUUUAAUGCUGAGGGUCUAUUUCCUUAAUUUAGAGAAACAACAACAGUUCCCUUAUAAACUAUCAAAGAGAACGUAGAAAAGAAAGAAAGAAUAAGGGAGAAAUAAAAAGAAAAGGAAAAGAGGAAAAAAAAUAUAUCCCUCAGCAAUUUUCUAAACAGCCAUAUAUAAAAACCGUGAGUAUCUCUGUAUAUACUGCAACAUUAUUGCAAGGCAUUAAUAUAUUUGUAUAUAAAUAUUGGCUUGGAAAAAAAAAGGGGAAAGAUUUUUUUUUUUUGGAGGAGGAGACUGGUAUAUUUGACUGAUUUAAUUGAAUUAAUUACUCAAUCAAUUGAUUUAAUCAUUCAAGAUUAAAGCUAUAUAUAAGAUAUUUAGCUAAAGUCUGCUACUGAGAAGCACUCAAGAAACAAAAUGUCAACUAGGAAAACAACAGAAAAGAAGAAAUAAAUUAAAUCAGUUCAGCAAACAGAAAAGAGGUUGUCAGGCUUUUUUACAACCCCCAUUAAGGAUGUGCAGGAACAGAUAAUUGAUGGUAAGACACACCCAAUCAAUACCUCCAAUAUUAAUCUGGAAGUUCCACUUAAUCAACCUUCAUCAGAAACCCAAGCAAUUGCUUUAAUUAGCAUACAAGACCAACUUAAGCAAGUGCUGGAGUUACAACUAAAUAUAUUGAAACAAGAUAUGCUUGCAAGUUUUAAUGAUAUAAAACAAGAGAUUAAAAAUGUUGCAGUAUCAGUGGUGGAAGUGGAAAAAAAAUGCGAAGUGUUUGGAACUCAAAUUAAAGCAAUUAACAUGGAAGUGCAGUUUCUAGCAAAUAAAGUUGACAAUCUUGAAAAUAAAAUAACAGCUUUAGAAGAUAGAUCAAGAAAAAGAAACAUAAGAAUAAGAGGGGUCUCUGAAGAAAUCUCCAAUGAAAAAUUAAGAGAAUAUUUAAACAAUUUAUUCAAAGAAGUUUUACCAGAAAUAUCUUCAGAUGAAUAUCAAAUAGAAAAUUUCCACCGAAUAUACAAACCCAAUACAACAGCUUCACACCUCCCAAGAGAUGUAAUAGUGAGUUUUUCUUCACUACCAAUGAGAAAUAAUUUAAUGAAAGCCAGCCGUAUUAAACCCCGAAUAAAUUCUAUUUGUAAAGAUAUAAUUUUUUUGCAAGACUUAUCCUAUUACACCAGGACUUGGAGGAAAUCUUUCUCUACCGUGACAAACUUUUUAAGAAAAGAAGAGAUCAGAUUUCAAUGGGGUUAUCCAACAUCUUUAAGGUUUACUUGGAAACAAGAAAAAAUAUUUUUUUUGGAUGCAAAUGAUGCAAACAGUUGGCUAACAAGUAUUAAUAAGAAAGGUUGAAAAGCCUGUUGCGAUGGAAAAGAGGAAGAGAAGAGAAGAAGGAGGAAAAGGAAAAAGGAAAAGGAAUUUUUUUUUUUCACUUUAUAGUCAAUAAGCUUUUAUUGUAAAGCACAAUUUUAUUUUAUAAUCUACAAUGUUUUCACUUAUAUGGAAUUAAUUAGUUGUGCAAUAUAUAACAAAUUUUUCGAUAUAAUUAAUAAUUGUUUCCACUUAUAGGGUAUUAAUUAUGUAUAAUAGAAAUAAUAGAUUUUUUUUUUUUGAAACAACUCACUAAGAAAUUAAAAGCACAUAAAUAUGUGAAAAAAGGAGUUAAAAGCAAACACGUUUAAGCAUUAACAUUAAUGAGAUCCAAAUUCAAUAAGGUGGUUAAAAGUAAAUUAUUCACAUAUAUUAGUAAGGUUUUUUUAGUAAUAGAUAAAAAGAUUAAAUACACUUGUAAUUAAACACCAUAGGAAACAAUAAUAAAAAUUGUUUAUAAAUAGAUUACUAGUAGCUAUGCUAAGAAGAAAUAGAUUCCCUCAAAUCAAAGAAUUAAAGGGAAAUAGGGUUAAAAAUAAAAGAAGGGAAAAGGAAAUGUUUUUUUUUUCUCCUCCCUCUCGGGGUAAAAUUGUAAAACUUGUAAAUAUUACUACCUCUUUUUGGACAUACCCACUUAGUGUCUAAUUUAAAGACACAGUAAAGACUGAAUUUCUAAAUGAAAAUUUACAGUCUUUGUGCUAAAAAAGGAGGAUUUCCUCCAAUGAUUUUAAAUUUAUGUUUUGUGUGUUUGUAUGUAUAUGUUUUUGCAGCAGUAGGGAAGGAUAAUGAUUAUCGAGUGGAAAAGGAUGUAGAGAAGUUUAUGAAAAUAACAUGAUAAAAAUGCUUACACUCAAUGUUCAGGGAAUGAAUACUAUAGCAAAAAGAGAUUUACUGUAUAAAUAUCUCAGUGAAAAACAAUUGAAUCUAAUAUUUUUACAAGAAACCCAUUGGAGGCAAGUGGAUAAACAGAAUUGGGGAGGUAAAAGAUUUCCACUUAUAAUUCAAGCCUCUAAUAAAGAUAAAAAGAAAUGUGGAGUAGCUGUAGUAUUUGGCGAAAAGAUCAAAGUUGAAAUUAUUCACCAGAUACAAGAUAUUAAGGGUAGAUAUUUGAUAAUAAUAUGCAAAAUUGACUCCAUACUUUUCACAUUAUGUAAUAUAUAUCUCCCCAAUCAUUCACCAGUUGCCUAUUUAAAAACAAUUUUGGAAAAGGUAGAUGAAAUUAAAGUGGGAAAGUUAAUAUUAGCAGGGGAUUUUAAUGCAGUACUGGAUCCUCAGAUCGAUAAAAAAUUAAUGAAAGGAAACAACUUAAACCAAAUGGUGAUAAAACAAGCAAAAGCUUUAAAAAAAAUUAAAGAUGAAUAUAAUUUAUUUGAUAUUUGGAGAAUUUAUAAACCCAAUGAGAGAGAUUAUACGCAUUUCUCUAAAGUUCAUUUUUCCUAUUCAAGAUUGGAUAUGAUUUGGGUAGAUCCAAGCAUUAUUGAUAUGACCAAAAAAACAAAGAUUGAUGAAAUAGUUUGGACAGAUCACAAUGGAGUUUUCUGUGAAAUAGUUUUUUGUACAUUUAAAAGAGAAGCCUAUACUUGGCGGUUAAGAGAUAAUUUGCUUUGCUGUGAAUUAAUAAAAACUUACAUAGAAAACAAUAUAAAAAAUUACUUUAAAGAAAAUAUUUCAGAAAAUAUUGAUCCAUCUAUUUUGUGGUGUGCCUUUAAGGCUGUUAUAAGAGGCCAUAUUAUCAAGCUACAAAGUCAGCUCGAUAAAAAUAUUACUUUGGCAUAUUUACAUACAGAAUUAUGAAAUAUGACUUAUAUUAAUAAACAAUCUCCAUCUCCCGAAAUUUAUGGAAAAAUAUUAGAACUUAAAGAAAAAAUAAAGCAAAAAUUAAUAGAUACGAUAGCCAAAAAUAUGGAUAGACUAAAACUCAAAUAUUAUUCUAAAGGUAAUCGAGCUGAAAAGAUGCUGUCUCAAAAACUUAGAAAACAAAAAGGACAAAACAAAGUAGAUAAAAUAAUACAGAAUGGAAAAAUAGCAACAACCCCUAGAGAGAUUGGAAAAUGUUUUAAUGAAUACUACGGCAACCUAUAUAAUAUAUCUCAAAUUAACACAGAUGAGGAUAUCAAAAAUUAUUUAAAAACUAUAAAGAAGUUUCAAUUAACAUCUAUUGAUAAUGAACUUUUGAAUAAACCUAUAAUUAUGGAGGAGAUUAUGAAAGCUAUAAAUGACUUAGAAAGAUCUAAAACACCAGGCCCUGAUGGGUUUAGUAACCUAUUUUAUAAAACAUUUAAAGAUCUAUUAUGUCCAUAUUUGACUUCUGCUUUUAAUACAGCUGCAAACAGAGGAUUUCUACCAGCAGAGAUGCUUAAAGCUAAUAUCUUGCCCAUUCUAAAAAAUGACAAAAAUUCCACCGACAUUAAAAAUUACCGUCCAAUAUCUUUAAUAGAUGUAGACACUAAGCUAUAUGCCUCGGUUUUGGCUGCCAGAAUAAAAAAACUUCUUCCAUUAAUUAUUCACAAAGAUCAAAUAGGAUAUGUUCCAGGUAGAAAUUCCUAUACAAGUAUAAGGAAAAUCAUUAACAUCUUGGACGAUGCAAAUAGAAAUGAUGUUGCAGUUCUGACUCUGUCGAUUGAUGCUGAAAAAGCAUUCGACAGAGUCAGCUGGAAAUAUUUAGAAGCCAUCUUAUCACAUUAUGGACUGGAAGGUUGGAUUAAGAAAGCUAUAAUGGCCUUAUAUGUAAAUCCAGUUGCACGGACUAUUGGACCUAAUAUUGUUGCCCCAUGGUUCCAACUUAGAAAUGGUACUCGGCAGGGUUGUCCCCUUUCACCAUUACUUUACUUGCUCACUAUCGAACCAUUGGCUGAAAACAUCAGAAACAAUAAGGAGAUUAAUGGCUAUAAAAUAAUGGAUGAGGACCAAAAAAUUAGUCUAUAUGCCGACAACAUUUUAAUUACUCUCACAAAUCCUAAAAACUCUUUAGAACAUAUAAUGCAAGAAAUAGAUCGAUAUAGUUUUAUAUCAAACUAUAAGUUAAAUACAAAUAAAUCCCUGAUACUAGAUAUCAAUCUCAAUAAAAAAAUGCAACAAGAGAUUAAAAACAGAUAUGAUUUUAUUUGGGUUAAGGAAAGCAUGGAUUAUUUAGGAAUUAAAAUAGUUAGAGAGACAAAUAAGAUUAUGGAAGUAAAUUUUCUAACAUUAUUAUUGGACCUUAAUAAAUGGUUAAAAGAUCGCAGAAAUUUAGAGAUUACUUUUUGGGGACGAAUAAACGUCAUUAACUCAUAUGUCAUGCUAAAGUGGAAUUACAUGUUCCAAAUGUUACCUCUCCAUAUUCCAAUUCAUUGGCUUCAAUUAUUACAAAGAAGCUUUACUCAAUACAUUUGGAAAGGUAAGAAGCCAAGACUAAAACAAUCAAUAUUAGUGCAAAAAUUACAUAAAGGUGGACUCGCUUAUCCAUUUAUAAUGAAUAAUUUUAAAGCAGCUACUAUUCUACAUAUUUAUAGAAUGCAAAUUAAAGAAAAUAAAGAUGAAGGAUGGUAUAAAAUGGAAAUGAAGGCAGGAGAAGUCUCUAGCUUAGAUUGCUUAAUUUGGAAUAUAAAUAAAACGCUAAAAAAAAAAGAGUAUCCUAAUAUUAUUUUAACUCAAUUAUUGGAAAAUUGGUCCAAAAUUAAAAAAGCAAUGAAUAUAGAAAAAAAAGUUCCAAGCUACGUAGAGUUAAAUAUUGUAGAAAAUCAAGUGGAAGAUUUAAAUCUAAAUAAUUGGAAAAAAUUAGGGAUAAUGACUUUAGAUCAUUUAUUGACAGAAGGAUCAAUCAAAACUUUUGCCCAAAUAACAGGCGCAUAUAAUCUUCCAUCUAGAGAGGUGUUUAAUUUUUUAAGACUUAAAAGUUAUAUGAAUACACACGCCUUAUAAUACCAAAAUCUAAUUUGAGCAAUCUGAUUGAUUUAUUAUUUACCUCAAAAAAAAUUAAUAAACCACUCUCUAAAGCUCUAAUAUUAACUAAAUCAAUGGUCAAGGACAUAAAUCCUACUGCUAUACAGGCAUGGAAACAAGACUUAAACAUUGACAUUAGUAUGAAACAAUGGGGUUCUUCAAUGAUGGAUGUUAAGAAGAACAUACACUCAUUAAAUUUACUAGAAACACACUUUAAAGUUUUAAAUAGGUGGUACUUAGUACCAGCUAAAUUGAAUAAAAUAUAUCCUUUAACUAACCCUACCUGCUGGAGGUGUAACAGUACUAGAGGCAAUUUUAGACAUAUUUGGUGGGACUGCCAUAAAUUAAAAAAAUCUGUGGCUGAAAAUACAGCAUUUCAUAUCCAAUAAUCUAAAACUCGAGUUGAUAAUUUCCCCAGAGGUAGUUUUGUUGCACUUGAAUUGGCCACAUAUGACGUAUGAGCUAAAAGUAAUUCUUAUACAUCUUUUUUUAGCUGUUAAAAUAGUAAUUGCGAGAUGGUGGAAAAAAAGAUUCAGAAGUCCCCUGGAAGAAAGUUAAAAACCAACUCGAGUUUCAGAUUAAAAUGGAGUUGAUGCUAAGUAAACAAAAACUAAGCAAUAAUGUAUUUGUUUGGUCAAAAUGUAUUGAGAUGAUUAAUGUAGAAAAUAAUGUUGAUCAGUUAGAAGUAGACUAAUUCCAUGAACAUUGUAAAAAUUACAAGAUAUAUUUAAAUGAUAUUACCACUCUACUAAGGAAAUUUUUCUGGUAUUUUUUUUUCUUCUUUCCUAUUCUGCUGCUAUAUUGUCUUGUAUUGUAAAUUUGUAUGAUAUAUGUAUUUAAAAUAAGGAAAAAAAAAUAAAGAUUAAAAAAAGAAUGCACAAGCAACUUACACCCUAUAUGGUAGUGAAUUAGGGAUAACCAAACAUGAGAAGGAUUUGGGAAUUGUUAUAGACAACAAAUUAGGCAGUAAUAUGCAAUGUCAAUCUGCCAGUAAGCUUUUGUCAUGUAUAAAUAGGGGCAUAAAGUAUCGGGAUGAAAAUAUAAUUUUGCCUCUUUAUAAAUUGCUAGUUAGACCACAACUUGAAUAUGCUGUGCAAUUUUGGGCACCUGUUCUAAAGAAAGAUUUCAUGGCACUAGAAAGUUCAAAGAUGAGCUACAAAAUUGAUAAAAGGAAUGGAGCAUUUUAGUUACGAAGAAAGGUAAAAAAUGUAAAUCUCUUUACUUUGGAAAAACCGUGCCUGAGAGGGGAAAUGAAAACAUACAUAUGUAUUCGGGGCCAGUACAAACCAUUAUCUGGAAAUCUAUUCAUAAACAGGCCUAUACAUAGGACACGAAGUCACACAUUUAGGCUGGAAGAAAAGAGAUUUCAUCUAAGGCGAACAAAAGGUUUUUUUACAGUAAGAGCAAUAAGGAUAUGGAAUUCUCUGCCUGAAGAGGUGAUUUUGUCAGAGUCUAUACAGAUGUUUAGAUUGCAAUUGGAUAAAUACUUGCAAAAACAUAACAUGCAGGGGUAUAAUUUCUAAUUAGUAGGGUAAUAGCUGCUUGAUCCAAGGAGACAUCUGACUGCUAUUUUGGGGUCAAGAAGGAAUUUUUUUCCAAGGUUUUGCAAAAUUAGAAGUGCUUCAGACUAGGUUUUUUGCCUUCUUUAGGAAGGUUGAAAUUGAUGGACGCAAGUAACUAUGUAACCUAGCCUUGGGCAACUUUCAUCUGGCUCUGUUCAAGGUGGAAUAAUACCUUAUGAAGGUCUUCCCAUGCUGAAGGUCUUUCCCAAACUCAGGCAGAGUGCACUUGUAAGCCAACCAAUCAGAAUGCUUACAGGCACAUCUCAAGAAUGGUAAGACUUGCCUGACUGAGAGCUCUGAUUGAUUGGAAUAUUUCCACACAAAUCUCAAGAGAAAUGAGGCGUGCCUGUCAACAUUUACAAGCCAAACAAUCAGAGGAUUUGCCUUAGCUAUGAAAGAAUGGGAAAACCUUUAUAAGAUCUUUUCCCAUCUUGCAUGCUCAUUUUGUGUGGAGCCCUCACAGGGUGAAGAUGGAAUACACUUUUAGAAGUUAUGAUGUUUCUUUUUUUGUCUUUAUUUUUUGCUAUUCUGGUCUGUUUUAACGGUUGCAUUUGUUGUUAUGAAUUUUUAUUUGGCCUUUUGUAGGGCUGAAGAAAAGUAGAUAGGAAGUAUUAUUUUUUUUUCAGGGUUUUAGAGUUAUUGGGUCCCUCAUCUGCAAAGGGUAGGUAAAAUAUUUUAACUGGAGGGUUAGCAAGGAGCUUUCAGACAAUUGCAAAGUAUGGAAUAGACAGUGUGUUGUACUGCAUUGCAUAACUGUGUGUUUUCUAAUAAUUUUGUCAGUGGGAUUAAUACUGUUGAUUUACAUACCAUGUUUUUUGACUUGGAGCCAAUCCUGAUAAUGAUGUGUUUAUGUAAUCAUUUGACACUCUAUGUCAUCUGCAGAUUAUCAGUAUAGGACAGUUGCACAAGCAUGUGAUAGGAGGACAGCCGUUGGCUUAGCACGAUGCGAAGACGUAGAUCUGCGCUUUUUCCUUCCACCUCCACCACUGCCAAAAAUAAUUGAUGUAAGGUUGUUCAUUUUUUUAACAUGUUAAAAUAAAUGCAGUACCAAGAUGCUUGAGAAGUGGAGCACUGAAUGAAUGUAUGAGAUUACGAGGAGGGUAUAUAUAAUAGGAAACCGAACGACCUAUUCAAUAUAAAACAUGAAAUAUUCGAAAAUACCCUUAAUCUCUAGCUGUGAUAUCUGUUAAUACAGUAAUGCAAAUAAGACUAUCAUUGCAAGAUAGUCAAACAAUAAUAUGCCAUAAAUAACCGUUUUAAAAAACGAAAUAAAUAACAAAUGUCAUGUACUAAAUGCAACAGACUUGAUAAUAAAGUCCAAUAUUAGUCUGUGCAAAUCCAUUUAUUCCAGGUAUUCUCCUGGAUGAUGUCACUCCAUAGUAGAGGUGAGUAUAUGAAAAGGUACAGAGAAAAACAAAUUAGUCGAUUUUUGUAUCAGUAAAAUACAUAAGAAACAAUCCAAUUUUGUAAAAAAUAAAACUGUCUUUAUUAGAGUCUUAGCUCUCAACUAAAAAUCAAUAUAUAAAAGGCUCAGAUUAAAAAGUCCAAAUAAAAUACUAAUGAUCAGACCUCAUUAACAUGUGUCUGUAAACUGAUUCACAAAAGUGCAUGUUAGGUGCACCUUAUACUGCUCACGGCGUCCCGGAUCAGCAGAUUAGAUGUUGCUUUGCUGGGUACAAUACAGGCAAGUGCUUCCUAGAUGCUGGCUUCCAGUGAUCAGUAAUCAGUCCCUCCAAAUGCGUUUCUCCGUCAGAAAGGACUGU